GUCCUUUCGGUAACAUCCGAUAAACUAGGAAUAUAAUACAAAGAAGAUUAGUAUAGACCCUGUGUAAGGAUGAUGUUUUUAAUUAUUUCCUCCUAUUGAUAUUA
rnacentral:snRNA from 1 species